UUUUGGACAAUGGGGGAAACCCUGACCCACCCACCCCGCGUGUACGAUGAAGGCCUUCGGGUUUUAAAGCACUUUUGCAGGGCAGGAAAAGGUUUUGGCUAAUACCCGGAACGGAGACCGGUACCGAAAGAAUAAGCACCGCCUACCUACGUGCCAGCAGCCGCGGUAAAACGUAGGGUGCAAGCGUUAACCGGAAUUACUGGGGGUAAAGCGUGCGCAGGCGGUUCGGAAAGAAGGAUGUGAAAUCCCAGGGCUCAACCUUGGAACUGCAUUCUUAACUACCGAACUAGAGUAUGUCAGAGGGGGGUAGAAUUCCGCGUGUAGCAGUGAAAUGCGUAGAUAUGCGGAGGAAUACCGAUGGCGAAGGCAGCCCCCUGGGAUAAUACUGACGCUCAUGCACGAAAGCGUGGGUAGCAAACA
rnacentral:rRNA from 1 species